rnacentral:lncRNA from 1 species
GCAUAUAAAUCCGCUUAUGGCAUUCACCCAAGCAUACAGAGACAGAUGGAAUGAAAGAAAGAAAAAGUAGCUCCGCAGCUCGCCCAGAAGAAGAAAGACCCGCCGCUAACGAUUUGGAAAUCCGAAUUCAUUGGUUUAGCCAUUCCAAUAACAAUUAGUUCCAUACCUUGGUCUCUUCCCUUGGUCCAUAAUAGUCAAAUGAAUGAUCUAUCAUGCAGAUCCCCUAUCGGCAAUUCUCUAGUUUACAAAUAGGCCUCUGAAUCGAUUCACCGACAUCUGAUCAUUGAUACCGACAUCAGCUACUGAUAUCUAGACUUGGUGCAAUCUAAUCGAUUAUUGGGAAUUGGAAGUAGUAGCUCUAGCUGAAAGAAAUCCCCCACCCAAGUUAGGUAACUAAUAGGCAGGCACCCCAUCUAAUUAGUACUUUAGAGUAAAGAAAAGACUGUUCACUUGCAUUCCCGCACCUCAUGAGUAUCUUUCGACCGAGGAUCGCCUGACAUGUUCCGCUCUUGUUAAAGAAGCAUAUCGAUCAAGUGUCAAUUCGUCGGAUGAGACCUUUGCUUUCCUUCCACAGGUUAAUGAGCGCUAUAUUCGGGAAGUACAGGAUACCAGAGAAACUAGCGAGUAUUGGGGUGGGGGCACUACUUCAGACCGCUUUGCUUUGGACUUGCUCUACCUUAUAAAUUGGGAAAUGGCUAUCAUCACAUCGAGCUGUCUACUUCUGAUCCAUAGGAGGGAGUGAACCGUUAUGUUCCUGAAGUCAGUAUUGGAAACAUAGGUAUCCAGAGCUAUUCUUUGAGCAGCAUCGACCUAAUUCCUAUGUUUUUCCGAAGAUCAUUCAGGGAAGAGAAGAAGACAUGGGAAAGAAGAGCACGAUUGUAAGUAGGCAUCAAUAGAUAGAUAUGAUUGGUUGACGAAGAUUGGCUUCUUGGGCCCCCGUAGGGCUAUGUUGCUAUGCUGCUAGAAAGAAAGGAAGAGUUCGAUGUCCAUCAGUUCGUGGUUUCGGAGAUUGCUUACCGACUUUCAUUCAUAUCUGAAAAGAUCAAGGGUGCCGAAGUAUUCAUUGAUCCAAAGAAAGAAGCUGACACAGGCAAGACCUGGAUGAUCGAGUUAUCAUAAUGACUUGGGUUAUGCCAACUUGUGUUGUGUUUUGUAAUCAGAGCUACUUGUCCUUGCGUUGCCCAAGAGAAGCCAUCUUUGCUAGGCUGUUUUUCGGUUGUCUAGCCAUGCGUGGGAGCGAAGAUAACUCCAAACACGUUUUGGUAGAUGAGGGGAGACUUGCUGUAUCCAUUUCCCUCUCUGGCCAAUGAUUUGAGGAGCUAGCAUCAGAUGGUCUAUCGUGGCCUUUUUCUUGAUAAAAACGUAUAAAAUGAAGCGUAGAUGAGACACUGUUUAGCGAGGAACUUGUGGAAGGCUUGGGCUAUCCUCGUACUCUUUGGUACUGACUCAUUAUUAUUAUGCGGCAAUCAUAUCACUGUCUUUAUCGACUCCAUGCAAAACAUGUUCAUUGAAUUUGAUAGGCCUAAAAUGGCUUUCAUUAUGACCAAAACUACUAACAUGCAAAAACUGGUAAUAGGCCCGCGGAUCUCUCUGGUUAUCAAUGCUAUUUUAUUGUGUUCUGUAGCCUCGCUAACCACAGGCGUGGAUCCACAAGAACAGAAGAAGCAACAAGAUCGUGCUUCCCUGCUUUAGGAGUUUCUUCCACCGGUGUGCCUAUAGGGAGAUAAUGACUCUCCUAAAACCCUUAUUUGCGGUUAAUUGUUAAUUGGAUCUACACUUUUGUUGGAUCCACAUCUUUGAAAGAAGACUAGUUUGGCACGGGCGGGCUAGAAAGACUUCGAGGAUAAAACCGAUCAUUCAACAGAUAAGGUCCUUUUGGGUGACUCUGGAGCAAAUCUAUAGCAUCAGCCAGUCUAGCGCGUUCUAACCACUAUCGCUUUCGUCUUGUAAAAGUUUAAUAAAUGCGACUAUGAAUUAGGGCCAGUAGACUAGAACUAUAAAUUGACCCGGCGUCGACGCGUAGCCGCUCACCAUUAUGGUUCUAUUGGUUCUCAUCGAAGUAUCUAAAUGGUUCUAUUGGGGUUCUCUUCGAGAUAUCAAAAUAUUAUUUGGAAUUUACCACCCGUGUGGAGCCUUGAAUGCGACUCUAAAUUGGAUCAGUCACACCGGGCGAUCACUCUCAUGGAGAGCUCUUAUGGCUCUCAUGUGAUAACUAACUCGCCUUCCCUAAGUCUUCGCCUAACUCGCCUUUCUCAGAAUCUUCUGAAUCGGGAUCCGUGGUUGCGUCUGUUGGCAGUAGCACUUCUUCAUUGUAUUUGUGACUUGGCUUUGUCCGUUGACAUUCUAACACAUUGGCAUUCUAAUCUUGGAUUAUUUCUUAAUAAAUUCGACCCGGAAGGCUUUUUAGCUGAACAUAAGGAGUGGUGUGCGGACCCAAAGGCAGUUACCAAUAUAUCAUUAGAUUAGUGAAUUCCCACGCGCCAAAUAGGCGUCACCACACUGCCUCCCAAAGGCUUCUUUUAGGCUUCCCCGCCACAUCACACGCUUGCUUGCUUUUGCUAAUCCGAUCCAGAAAAAACGAACAUUCUCCCACGUGCUUCGGGCCUUGCAAUAGCAGUAGAUGCUACAGACGUGGUGUCAUUAUCAGUGAUUCCUCAAUCGAUCAGAAGAAAGGGAAUAUAACCUGCCCCUCAUUGUCCAGGUUUUCUUUGAACAACAUCGGCCGGACAAGAACAAAGGUUUUCACCUCCUUCGUCCUCGGAAUUGUUCGAGCUACAUUCCGUUCAGACUAGAUAUCCGGAAUCUAGUCCUCUCUGUCCUAGCUUAACAACCGUUUUUUUUUUGUCUUAAGACAAUAAACCACUUCGUUUAGCCUGCCAAGAGUCGCAUUCCUAACAACAGGAACAUCUGAGUUUAUCUCACUAUUUGCAUUCUUAGGUCCGGACAAGAACAAGAGGUUUUCACCAUCGUCUUUGCGCUUUGCUGGAACUAUGUAAGGUUUACGCUCGUGACUUCACGAGAUAGUGAUUCUCCUCACGACCACCAUUUCAUUUACCUUCACCCCGGGACUCAGGAACAACAUCUUAGAACCUGUUUUAUCCUCUGAACAACCAACAACAAACACUAGAAUUAGAGUUAUAAACCUUCCGAGAUGGCUUCAUCUAUUGCUUCUUUGUUGUCUUUCUUAUCUGGCAGAUGAAAACGGGAAUCUUUUUCUAGAUUGUGUGAGUGGUCAGUUGUGAUGGAGAACAGGGGAUUCCCAAUCCAAAAAAGACUGGCUUCUUUUCGAAAACUUCCAUGCCAGCUAUGUACCCAAACCUAGCAAUUCUAGAUUCUCCUAGUAAACUGCAGGUUUUUGGGUGCUAAAAAAGGAAACUUCCACGCCGGCUAUGCACGGGAACCAUCCGUUAAUCCGUGUGAACCAAGAAGAGAAAAUCGAAGCUUUUGACACGCCUGUCUAGCCAAUCCAAUAUAUAUCUUUCGUAUCCCUGCUAGCGUAAAUGACACACUAUUUUUGCGAGGAAAGUCACCUUGCAAACAAGCACGAUUCCCUAUGAAAGUGAAAGGCAAUUUUUCCCCGGGACACAAGAAGAGUGCAGGAUAUAUAAAAGAGAACUUGCGGAGGGCGAGACAACUUCAGUCAUGAUUGCAGAAUGUGAGGACUAUUUAGUCAUUGAAGAUGAAGAGUGUUAUAGUGCGUGAUGAUGCUUUGACUUGGGUUGUGGACUCAGGUGCGUCCUUCCACAUCACACAAGGAGUUUUUCGAAUCCUAGACCUGUGGCAUCAAUGGCUCUGUGAGGAUGGGAAAGAGUAGAACAUCAACAAUUGUGGGCAAGCCACCUUCACAAAUGGUGCGAAACAAACACAAAAAAAAGGUUGGUGCUCGAUGAUGUGAGACAUUCAAUUCAAAAAAUCUCUUGUCAGUAGUGGGCAAGCUUUAUGAUAUUGGCCAUGGCAGUUAUUUUGGUGAAGGAAAAUGGAAGCGAAGCGCUUCUUUGAUUGUGGCUCGAGGAAUAAUUGCUUAUAGAAAGAUGUAAUAGAAAUACGAAUACGAAUAUAAUCAAAUUAUCGACUCCGGGUCCGCCAUUCCUUAAUCAUUCCUUAAGCUUAAAUAGCCGACAUUCCUUCCGCAGCUGACUCGUUCAUCCCCUUCCAUUCCUGCUCUAUAGUAGGGGUUAUGUCCCCCUUUCCUAGUGAGAGCAAUACGCAAUGCUGCUACGAAUAGAGAUAGUGCCCUAUCCACUGCAAAACGGUACUCUGCUUCAACCACACGGUAUGGCUCCCUCAUUUCAAACCAAGCUGUAGACCGAGUAGGAAACAGCUAAAGGUUCCGGUCCAAAGGUAAGAAGAUCCGUUGGUUGGAAAUCCGUAUCAAUUGUUACUGGUUCUCCCGUUCUUGGUACUGUGUCAUGUGACUCUAAAGCCCCAACUAGGCUAGAUCGAGAUCUUGGUCCUUGCUAGGCUUACUCGCGUAAAUAACCCCCAUGUCUUAGGUGUUCUCUCGGGGGUAAGCGAGUCAGUACAAUCGGUUGCACAACCGUCCAGUCCAUAUCAUAAUUGUCAUAAUCAAUCAUAUCAGUAGGUGGCAUACUUGCCUGCUCAAGUCCAUCUACUAUGGAUGUGGGCUUGGACCAAGCCAUCCCCAAACACUGAACCGGAUCUUGAAAACGGGACUGAACUGAAUCCGACUUCUUGGUAGCCCAGUGGCUUUUGGUCCCCAUCGGAAAGUGCUGAAUGGAUUGCUCCUUGCCCAACGACAAAAAGAAAGAAAUUUAGGAGAGGAUUGAUAGGUUUAAGCAUUCAGGGCUGGUCGCUCUUAUGGAUACCUGUGAGCUAGAGUCGGGAAUCGAAAAGGAGACAACGGAAGCCGUACAGAUCUAGUUGGGAAUGCUGUUCAUGCAGUGGAGAGCGUAAAUGACCGGCCCUUGAGGCGCGAGUAGACUUAUCAUAUAGAAAGGAAAGAGAUAAGCGGAGGGAGGAUGGUUUGAUGAUAGCCAAGAUCUCCAUCUCAUUUGUCACUCUCGUAUUCUUAAUAGGAAUCGGCAAGCAGAUACAACCACUAGGCCAUUGCCAUUCGACUAGUCUAUCAGAGUAUCCUACGAAGUCAGGUCCAGUAGGCGCAGGAUGCGCUAAGCCAUUCGAUCUUCCUGCUGGUGGUCCACCAUAGAGCUCCUAUGUAGCCGUUUGUUUUCUCGCUUAACUAAUUUGUAUGAGGCGAUACAGCUGAGAUCAGCCAACGGUUCGAGCACUUAGCACAAUGUGCCACUUAACCGGACGAGCGCAAGACCGGGUCUACCUACCUUAUGACAUUUAUGAAAAACGAACGUUGUAUUAAGGGGUUUCUAUCAGUUAGUAACAAAGCCGGCAGUAUCCUUGAAUUCAGGGGUCAGCUACGGGAGGUAUGUCUCCAUGUGUGCCGAAGAAGCGUCUAUCAUUAUACGCUGUUUAUCCAAUCAAAAACUUCUUCGUUUAGUUGGUAGAACCCACGCCAAUAUCAUAUUGACUCUCUCUCGUCCAAUAAGAGUUUCCGAGAGUUACUUUAUUCAAAUUCUCUCCUUUCCAAAGCUCCACAAGGAAAAAAGAGUAAUAGGACAACAAUAUUGCUUUCAUUUAUUUUGAGUUCUUUCUUUGUUGAGAUGGAAAUCGACGUUCUUUUGAAAAGGGCUAGGUAGUUUGCACGCAGGCAAAACUUCUUCAUGAAAGGUAAAAAAUAGACUUGGAUUUCAUGGGUUUCUUAAUGACUAGUCGUUCGUUUGAAGCCUUAAGAAACCAGCAGAGAAAGCGGCAGUUUUUUUUUCCGAAUGACCUUAUUUCGAGAAUCAACUAACCGACAAAUCCGUAGCCCAGGUGAUUCGCUGCCUCCCUCUCGCCAAAAUGGGAUGAAUCUUCUCAUGCAGCUUUUUGAUUAUUCAGGGCGCAGCGAAGCCAAUUUCCAUCAAGGCAAGGGGGUAAAUAAGGGGGAAGAGGAGUUGUAACGAUAGAAAAGAGAAAUGACUAUAAGGAACCAACGAUUCUCUCUUCUUAAACAACCUAUAUACUCCACACUUAACCAGCAUUUGAUAGAUUAUCCAACCCCGAGCAAUCUUAGUUAUUGGUGGGGGUUCGGUUCGUUAGCAGGUAUUUGUUUAGUCAUUCAGAUAGUGACUGGCGUUUUUUUAGCUAUGCAUCACACACCUCAUGUGGAUCUAGCUUUCAACAGCGUAGAACACAUUAUGAGAGAUGUUGAAGGGGGCUGGUUGCUCCGUUAUAUGCAUGCUAAUGGGGCAAGUAUGUUUCUCAUUGUGGUUCACCUUCAUAUUUUUCGUGGUCUAUAUCAUGCGAGUUAUAGCAGUCCUAGGGAAUUUGUUCGGUGUCUCGGAGUUGUCAUAUUCCUAUUAAUGAUUGUGACAGCUUUUAUAGGAUACGUACCACCUUGGGGUCAGAUGAGCUUUUGGGGAGCAACAGUAAUUACAAGCUUAGCUAGCGCCAUACCAGUAGUAGGAGAUACCAUAGUGACUUGGCUUUGGGGUGGUUUCUCCGUGGACAAUGCCACCUUAAAUCGUUUUUUUAGUCUCCAUCAUUUACUCCCCCUUAUUUUAGUAGGCGCCAGUCUUCUUCAUCUGGCCGCAUUGCAUCAAUAUGGAUCAAAUAAUCCAUUGGGUGUACAUUCCGAGAUGGAUAAAAUUGCUUCUUACCCUUAUUUUUAUGUAAAGGAUCUUGUAGGUCGGGUAGCUUCUGCUAUCUUUUUUUCCAUUUGGAUUUUUUUUGCUCCUAAUGUUUUGGGGCAUCCCGACUUGCUUCAUUCAAUAGAGAAGAGACGGACUUCCAUAGAGCAUAGAUACCCGCUUUUGAUUCGGAAUACAUGAGACCCGGGCUUAGAAGUUAUGAGAUGACAGUACCUGAUAGUCAUAUCGACUUAAGGACAUGGUUUGGGUCCCACGAGAGGAAGAAACGAAGAUGUCUGGUCGUGGGACUGGUAACCUUGUCUGCUCUAGUACGAGUGAUCCGGUAUUCAUUACAUCAAUUCUAUCGUGUCAAAUCGGGUCAAAUAGCUCAGUCUUUCACUCGAAAGCCUGGCAUCCGCUACCGGUCAACUACUCUUAACUCCUGGGGUCGGAAUAAGCUUCCGCUUCUCAGCCAUAUCCAUCUUCAGCUUCUCCGCCUUUCGCUGAUCCACUUUCAUCCGAAUCAGUAGACAUAGUAUCCGGGUGGAAUGCGGGUGCUGUUAACCGGGUUCUUCUUUGAAUUUAUUGCUUGAAUAGAGAAGCUGCCUGCAGACGCCGCAACGAACAUGUAUUCACUAUUGUACGACUAUUCUCGUGCCUACUAUCUAGUUCGAGUCAAAGCAUAAAGCUUGUGCCUCAAUUUAGUGCUUGCUUGCAAAAAGACAUAUUGAAGAAAAGAGUAGAUUCUAAUCAAUAUGGCGCCCCUGGACCCUUUUAUUAAAUAAAAGUGCAGUAUCAAGUAGAAGUUGAUUCCGGUUGAGGAAAAGAAAGCGACUUCUCCAGCACUAGCACUUGCUUGAAUAAGUGCUUGCUAAGGAACCGGCAUAAUCAAAUUGCACGUCUGCUUCCCUUGUUGGGUCCAAUUGAACCCUUAGACAACACCCAAGCUUCCAUAAGAGUGCGAAGUGGAAGUACCUAACAGGGCCCUAUCUUAUUCAAGUCUCAUUUGGAGGGGAUUGCAGGAUUUGAUCCAUCGCCCCCGGUCCAAAGGACAAUAAAAAUAAUGGUACUUCACCUUCGAUUGGAUCUAGCUAUAAUCUACGUUUGGAAGAGUCUAAAGAUAUGGAGCUCAAAGGCAACAGCACGAAGGAACCUUUUGAUUGAGCAAGCAUGCGAAGCAAGCGACAGAGACCAAAUAGGCGAGAUUAGUUAAGGAAACGGGGUACUUCUGUGGCUAGAAGGCUUUUUUAUGAUUUUAAGGAAACCUUGAGGAGAUAUGCUUCAGGCUUAUCGAUUGUCACCCAUAGCCAUUGCUAUAUCUAUUAUAGCUUGAUUUUACUGUGGUAGAUGAACACAAUACUGCGGGGAAAGCUAAAAGACAAUACAGCCGUCCCAUGGGGUAUAGGCGAACGAUACAUUCACCUUAUUUAUCUUCAUUUUCUUCCGCAGCGAGCUAGUAUGCCCAAAGCCAGCAGUGCGUAGGAAGUCACUGAUCGAGCACUCUUGCGCCGACGAAUCCGGUCUUAGAUAGAAUGAAUAGGCGAAGAAAGGACAACCUGCUAGUAAGAAGGUUUCUUUCUGACUUAUGGAAAGCCUUACCUCUUUCUUGGACACGUUUUCGCUGCGCGCCUCUAUGAUAAACGAAAUGGCAGACAUGAACAAAGCAUAUAGUUGGUAUGACGAGAUAUUCUUCUUUCCCGACGGAACUACCUUUCGGCUUCGCUAAAAACACCUGGGCUAUGCCUCAAAGUCUCAACACUGGCCCGGAGGAGAACACUAAUCUACGCAUAAAUAAAAUCUCUGUUCAUUUUUGAUUCAACUGACCGAGACUAGCAAAUCAAUCCUUUUGAAGCACUCAGCUUUCAGACAAGUCUUCAGACUGCCAUGUUUUAGCUUACUUACCUUUGCCUGCCAACGCUAGAAAAGCUAGCUUCCUUGUUUGUGGUACCAGGAAUGUGUCAUCUUGAUCAAGGAGUCUGGAACUCCAUGCUGGGGAUGUAGGAAAUGCUAUUCGUGCCGGUGAAUCGACGAAACUAUGUCCUUUUGCAGCUUUUUGUGCAAUGUCAUAUGUCGUAAAAGAAAAUGUUGGUGCAGGCUGUCUUCGUAUGCUUUUGAAAAAGCAAGAAUUACUACUAUUUAUUGACUUUAUGAAAAGAAAGUAAAUUGACACUUUAUGUCUCUCUUUCGAAAUUGAAACUUGAAAAUAGUAGGAAACGGAAAGCAAGAACGAAGUAGGCGAGGAAAGGCAUACAUAGGUCAGAAAAGUAUGCAUGGUCGUCACGGGUAAGGAUUCUCCUUCCAGCAUUCUUGGGUCUAGUUUUGUUUGGACUUGGGCUUAGAUGUAGUGGGUUCUUGGGCCACUGCUUUACCUUUAUCAACCUUAGAAGGAGCAUUAGUCUUUGACACAUCAAUCAACCCGGCGUAGGAGCAUGGGAUUUGGACACAUCAGCACCAAACCUGUUGUUGAAGUCGAGUAUGAGCUUCUAUUCUAUCCAAUCGAAAGAAGAAGCAAAGGCUUUUCUCCUUAUCUUUGCAUUUAAGUUCUCGAAAGGAGAAUCGGAGGCUUUACACCUAUCUUUUCUACUUGCUUUUCGUUUUCUAAAAACAAGAGAUCUAGGAAAUGAAAGGAAUUCAUUAUCGAUAAGCUGUGGGUAGAACAGCACAACGAUAGAAACAUGAGGAAAAUCGUCUUCAUCAAGAAGAUAUUUAGCAAUUUUUUCUAUUUUCUAGGCGGAAGAGAUAAAAUAAAUAUUGUUACUGGGCUAGGAUGUUCAUUUGGGAAGGAUCUCGGAUGAAGCUCCAGAGUUCUUGACCAGUGGAGUCAAGUGGAGAAGGCGUUACUUGAUAGGAAAGCAAAUUUUUUUUGCAGGAAUUGUUGUUGUUUCAGCGCGGUAACGAAGGAUGUCUUUCUACCUGCACUUGACCCCGGAAAGUUGUGGUGUUUUCUAUCUUAGAGGAUUAACCACGCCUUUAUGCAAAGGCGAUGCCGAAGAACAUAAGCGGUUGUUUAAAGCAGUGGCGGCGCAUCCGCCUCUAUCCAUCACCAGAGUCUUUCUAGGUUUGUUCAAUAUCAUUUAUAUGUCAUAUGUCAAGGGCUAAAUAUAUGGUAGCCGAUUAUAUACUCCGCGUAGGGCGAAGUUUGUCCCAGUUGGUAGUUAUAUAUAGGUAUAGCUGGAGCCCUAGACAGUCUAGCCAUAUACCAUAUCAUGGGUUGUGGGCUACUCUGGAAGGAGUGGUGACCCAGCGCGAUAGGUUGCUUUUACUAUUACAAGACUGGCUUCCUGGUCAAGUCAGCCUCCUUGAGUUUGUCUUACGGACGGAGUGGGCUUUUCCCCAGGGGGUCUAGUUUUAAGGCAAGUAGGCCUAUUGAGAUGCAUAUAACUUUUCAUCUUAUCACCCCGCCUAGCGACUUUGCAAGCAUUAAAGGCUAGGCACCUAACAGCGGUUAUUCCUCCAACAGGUUAUUCUGGGUUACGCUAAACCUUCAAGCCUUUUACCAGCAGAUGAAUACUUAAUCUAUCCCCUCUGCGCACGGAAAGGGAAAGCUACUCUUCAAGAGUAUAUGCCGAAAAUCCUAUGUUUGGAGUGACCAUGAACACACUGCUUGAGACCCUUCUUUCGUGAGACAGUUGUGAUUCCGCUUUCAUGUUUUGGAUUGAGCUUUGUCACUCUUUCUAUGCCUCUUUCUUUUUCUUGGAGGACAACACACACGCGGCGCUAAGGUUCCCGUGGCAACUGAACUAGGAUUCGAAGCCAGGAUGAGCGGAUCUACCGCUCCAGGUCCUUUCCUAUUCUUAUACUAAUAUGUGUAAGUUCCUUGCGUUUAGAACUAGAACGUGAGGCAUAGUAAUGGCGCAUGUGUGAUAUUCUAUUGAUCCUGUUUAGGCUGCUUUAGGAAAGCACUCAAGCAGGAAUGGAUAAAAUGUCUUCUGCUGCAAUCCUAACUGCAAUGGCCCUCGCAGCUUUAGUGCAACAAGCCGAUCGAAAGCACUCAUCUUUAUCGACUAAAUGCUUUUUUGUCUCUUCCUCACUAAACGCCCGCUUCCUGGCUCCUCCCUCUUUGCCUAGCGGUUAAGUAGAUAGUAGGUCCCCCCCUGGCCCCGCAACCAAGAGUCACUCGUCGAAAGCUGACCAGGAAGACAAUAACUGCUAUUUCAAGAAAGCAUGGUUGGAGUUCUUCUAUUGACGAAGGGAAGAGGACGGUCUUACUUUUCAGAGAUACCUGACUUAUUAAUGGACUGGUCAUGUCAUAGCGGAAGGUCAGAGGUGGGAAACAAGGAAACAGAGGAAAUGCUUACUGGGACAUAGCCUUUGGUACGAGUUGAAGGGAAGAGGUUUGAUUGCUAAUAAAAUGAGUGGAAGAGCUGCUCGGUCAAAGGCCUUCUCUCAAGUAGCAAAGGCAAGACGGAAAAGCAGGAAUGAAGGUUGCUAGGUACCGCUCCGUGGUAACAUCUAUCGAUUCCGCUAUCGGGAAAGUCUGGCAAGGGGAAUAUCUGGCUGAGGAAUUAGAGGAACUUUGGUAGCACUCGGGGACGGAAUCAAUCAAAGAACUUAAGAAAUUGCCCAUACCGACAGCAGCUCCCGCUUUAGAAAAAACCCUAUCUCAUCAGGCAGGUAUACCUGACCCUUUUUUAGCUAGUUUCGGGAAAGCGGUAAGUUAAGUAAGUCAAGCCCUUCUAAGCGAAGAAUAGCGGAGAGAAAUGGUAACGUAAUAAGGGAAAGGGAGCUAGCUGCUUCCAUAUCGCCCCCAAAAAAGAACCAAAAAGUUCCAGAGGCAUCUUCCAUUCAUUUCGAUUUAGGUCUUUCUGCACCAUAUUUAGAUCUUCCCUUUCUACGAUCCGGAAUUCCCAGCAAAUCCUUGACUCCUCGAAUACGAUGGGAUUUCACACCUGGCGAAUCUUUCACUCUACCUCCUCUGACUAAGACUAUAGAAUGUUCCUGCGAAUUAUGACCUUCGCCUGGAAUGUGAGCAAAUAUAUCAUGUCGAUUGCUCAACCGUACUUUUGCUAUCUUACGUAGAGCUGAAUUAGGUUUUUUCGGUGUUCUCGUCGAAACACGCAGGCAUACUCCUUGCUUCUGGGGACAUUGAUCCGAAGCUCGAGUACGGUCCGUGCGCCGUUUUUCUUCUCUACCAUGACGAAUCAAUUGAUUUUUUGUAGGCAUCCCUCUUUCCUAUGUCCUUCCCCCCUUUGCCCUUUCAAAAGUGGUUACUCCCGAUCCGAAGCACCCCUUUUCCAUUCAUAGAGAGAUCCAAUCGUCAAAAUCAAUAAAAAGGCCAUCAUGGACCAAGAUCCAAACAGAUCAAUCUUGUUAGGAGGUACUGCCCAAGGAAAAGAAAAGGUGACUUCCGGAUCAGGGAUAAUAAAUAAAAUAGGAACCGGAUAAAAUCGUAUAUCGAAACGACUUCUGGCAUCACCGGAGGGAUCGGAACCACAUUCGUAGGCCGACAAUUUUUCUGGAUAGGUCGAACUAUUGGAAGCAAAUGGAAAAGGAACACCGAGUGGAAUCAAAGAAACUAGCGGACUGAUCACUAAAUAGAUACAAAUAGGUGCAAAUUCCGACAUCACCAAAGCCCACUUCGUUCUCUCGCUCUCCUCGCGGCGCUCCUUGCUCGCGGAGCGGCAUACCGAAAAAAAGACGCUCAGAUGUGGAUUCGAACCACUGAAGGAUUUCAAGGGCAAUGCCCCUUGCUCUUCCCACUGAAACAAGAAAAAAAGGAUUUGCAGUCCAGCAAGAAAACGGAUGCGCUAACGCUCAACGGCUUUCGCGCUAGUUGCNNNNNNNNNNUGCUCUAACCAGCUGAGCUACCAGAACCACUUGCCUAAAGUCUCUUUUCUUCAUCUAUGAGCAUCCUAC